CUCUUUUUCUUUUAUAUGUCACACAAUAUACUGUAUGCACUAAUAUUUUUGACAUUUUACUCCAUAGGAAACCUACGAAUCUAUCAGUCUCAGUACCAAAUACCGAUCUACACCGACUCGCUGAACCCACUAACUUCUGCAACUGAACACUAGGAAGUAAAUUUCGUCAGCCACUUUCUCGGUCACUAAACAUACUCUGUCUUACUCAGUAAACAUAAUUUCCUAUUUUUCUUACUGCGUAUUUCUUAUGACAGGUGUAAUAUAGCGGCACCUUGUGCAGACUCCUAUUUUGCUAUCAGCAACAGAAACUGUUGGAUCAACCAGCCACGACCCAACUCUUUUGGACCUAUGCUCUAAUACGUCACCGGUGUCAUAUGACCUCAUGUCUACCUCCUCUGCAAGAGCACUCUUCCACUCUAGUGCAUAUGACCUCAGGUCCAUGGCGACCAUCAUCUCAACUCUGUUGCAUACAUUCUUGAAUAUGAUGGGAAAUCCUUAUGUACCUCCCAUCUGAACCCUUAUGGAACUACAUGCAUCUCAAGAGGACUCAUCCAGCUAUGUAAAAAUCUAUCAUAAUUAGCGAAGCUGUUUUGUAUUGACAGAAUUCUUUUGUUGGCCCUCGGUUUAUUCUCCAAGUUUCAUCUAUAUAAUCAACACAUUCUCCAAAAUAGCUCCAACAUCAGUAUCAUACAAACUUUGCAAACUUCAUUUAUUUAGGUCAGAUGUAUAAGCAUUUUUAGGUUUCGAUUCCAUCUAUUUCCUCUUACAUCUCCACGAAAUAUUUUCCUCCAAAAAAAAACUCAAAAAAAUAGAACCCACAUAAACGAAAGAAAAUGAUAAAUAAACUAACAAACUAACACCACACAAAAGGCCCAGUCAGCGAUCUUCAGGCCCACGAAACAAAACACCAAAUCACGUAAAAUAACGACACACACAGUUUCCUUCUACCAUCGUCGAUACCCUCCACACCACACUCAUUGCCCAGCCGUGCCGCCUCCACCGCAGAGAUCCAGAUCCAGUCCAGUAACCAUCGAUUCUCCAUCAUGUUAUCAGUCCAAAUCAGACAGAUUGCGGCCGGAAUACACAACAGUGGCUUCAAAUAUUCGAUUGCCUUCUCCAUAGGCCUGUGGAUCCAUGAACACAACUACACGGGUCUAGGGUUCCUGGUAAGCAAUUUACUGACUACUAAUUCGACAACUUCAUUUACAACAACCAAGAAAUGGUGCCUCAACUUUAGAUCUAUCAUAUGCUGAUAUCCUCACCCAGAUCAUAAAUUGAAAGUAGGAUCUGAAAAUACCGUUCGGUACGCGGGUCUAUGUAUAUAUACACACAUGU
rnacentral:lncRNA from 1 species